UACGAAGGUCCCAAGCGUUAUCCGGAUUUAUUGGGUUUAAAGGGUGCGUAGGCGGGUUAUUAAGUCAGUGGUGAAAGCCUUCAGCUCAACUGAAGAAUUGCCAUUGAUACUGAUGAUCUUGAGUAUGAUUGAGGUGGGCGGAAUGUGUCAUGUAGCGGUGAAAUGCUUAGAUAUGACACAGAACACCGAUUGCGAAGGCAGCUCACUAAGUCAUAACUGACGCUGAUGCACGAAAGCGUGGGGAGCAAACAGG
rnacentral:rRNA from 1 species